AUCCCAAAUUGCCCAAUGUGCUACAGCGUGCAUUUUUUGCUUAGUUUGCCUAAUUGUGUUACUAACAUGCUGUAAGGCUAUCUGUGCCUCUCUGGCUAAUAAGAUCUCAGCAGCUAUCAGCUUUCAUUCCCCCCUGUAGAGAAGGAUGAUGAGUAAUGAUAGAAGGUUGUUUUCAUUUUAACAAGUUUAGAAGGUAAUGUCAUCUAAACCAAUAAUCUGUCUAUAUUACGUGGAACAUAUGUCAAUGCAACCCGAUUGCGGUAUAAUUCUGGACCUAAUUCAUAACAAGAUGCCCAGCGCUUCAAGCCUCCUCCUCAACCCUCUUGCUCUCUCCCCACCCGCAAAAUUGCAGGUACAUCUUGCGCCAUAGGCUAUACUAAUCUGUCCAUCACGCAUGUAAACAACUAGCUUGCUUGCUCUAUCCGCACUGACUGGUGAUGUAAUUUAAUAAGAUAAAUGUAAAAAAAAAAAAAAAAUCACAGGUAAACAACUGAGGAGUACCAAGAAGGCUGUGCGGUGGCUUCAAUACAGUGCCCCAUGUCAGUCAUCCAGAGUUUAUACACAUCAUUGGUGACGACCCAAGCAGCAUCCUAGAUAUUAUGGCGGAACUGUGAACUCCCGCGAGAACCGAGAGGAAACGCCUACUAAAUUACACAGACAGGACUCUGACAAGUUUUUUAAAUGUUAAACAGUCUUAUUUAUCCACCAUAUUUGAUGUGUACAAGUUUAUCUGAUGGGCCCAGCUACAAUGUAACCUAUCACGUUCAAGUAAAAUCAACGAUUUUAAUUGGCUGAUGCGCAUUUUGAGAUGGAGAAAACUUUUACCCCUUUUUUGUAAUAUCCAAUUGGUAGUUAGUCUUGUCCCAUCGCUGCAACUCCCCUACGGACUUGGGAGAGGCGAAAGUCAAGAGCCUUGCGUCCUCCAAAACACAACCCUACCAAGCCUCACUCGUUCUUGACACACCGCUCGCUUAACCCGGAAGCCAGCUGCACCAAUGUGUCGGGGGAAACACCGUCCAGCUGGCAACCGAGGUCAGCUUGCAAAGACACAAAAUAAAUCCCGACCAAACCCUCCCCUAACCCGGAUGACACUGGGCCAAUUGUGCGCCGCCUCAUGGGUCUCCCGGUCACGGCCGGCUGUGACACAGCCUGACAUCGAAUCUGGGUCAGUACUGACGCCUCAAGCAGUGCGAUGCAGUGCCUUAGACCGCUGCACCACUUGUGAGGCCGGAGAAACGGUUUCUAAUGUUCGCAAGUAUGGCCCCAGUUUGCUAGAUGAGUGAAAAGUAAAGAGCCUGCUUCACAGACAUAACAAAUAGUAUGAAGUUGGUAUAGGAAUGUAGAGAAUUUUAUUUACAUAUCAGUAUUACAAAAUGCGCUCACAUUUGCUUAAGUGUUUUUAAAUGCAGAAAAACGUCACAGCUGGAAUUUCUCUUCAUACGAUGAAAUAUUCAGUAUAGUGUUAUAGUCAUAACUUCAUUUUUUUUAUUCAG